UACGUAGGGUGCGAGCGUUAAUCGGAAUUACUGGGCGUAAAGCGUGCGCAGGCGGUUUUGUAAGCCAGAUGUGAAAUCCCCGGGCUCAACCUGGGAAUGGCAUUUGGGACUGCAAGGCUGGAGUGCGGCAGAGGGGACUGGAAUUCCCGGUGUAGCGGUGGAAUGCGUAGAGAUCGGGAAGAACAUCAGUGGCGAAGGCGGCCUGCUGGGCUGUUGCUGACGCUGAGGCGCGACAGCGUGGGGAGCAAACAGG
rnacentral:rRNA from 1 species